CCCUUAGAUGUCCGGGGCCGCACGCGCGCUACACUGAAGGAAUCAGCGUGGCUUUCUCCCUGACCCGAAAGGGUUGGGAAACCCGUUGAAUCUCCUUCGUGAUAGGGAUUGGGGCUUGAAAUUGUUCCCCAUGAACGAGGAAUUCCCAGUAAGCGCGAGUCAUAAGCUCGCGUUGAUUACGUCCCUGCCCUUUGUACACACCGCCCGUCGCUACUACCGAUUGAACGGUUUAGUGAGGGCCUCGGAUUGGUCUCGGCCCGCUCUUUACCGGGUGGCGCCGUUGGUCGAGAAGACGCUCGAACUUGAUCGUUUAGAGGAAGUAAAAGUCGUAACA
rnacentral:rRNA from 1 species